rnacentral:rRNA from 1 species
CGUGUAGGUGGUUUCGUAAGUCUGGCGUGAAAUAUCUCGGCUUAACCGAGGCAGGUCGUCGGAUACUGCGAGACUAGAGGACGGUAGAGGCGUGUGGAAUUCCGGGUGUAGUGGUGGAAUGCGUAGAGAUCCGGAGGAACACCAGUGGCGAAGGCGACACGCUGGGCCGUACCUGACACUGAGGCGCGAUAGCAUGGGGAGGCAAACA